GAUGAACGCUGGCGGCGUGCCUAAUACAUGCAAGUCGAGCGAACAGACGAGGAGCUUGCUCCUCUGACGUUAGCGGCGGACGGGUGAGUAACACGUGGAUAACCUACCUAUAAGACUGGGAUAACUUCGGGAAACCGGAGCUAAUACCGGAUAAUAUAUUGAACCGCAUGGUUCAAUAGUGAAAGACGGUUUUGCUGUCACUUAUAGAUGGAUCCGCGCCGCAUUAGCUAGUUGGUAAGGUAACGGCUUACCAAGGCAACGAUGCGUAGCCGACCUGAGAGGGUGAUCGGCCCCACUGGACCUGAGACACGGUCCAGCCUCCUACGGGAGGCAGCAUUAGGGAAUCUUCCGCAAGGGGCGAAAGCCUGACGGAGCAACGCCGCGUGAGUGAUGAAGUUCUUCGGAUCGUAAAACUCUGUUAUUAGGGAAGAACAAUGUGUAAGUAACUAUGCACGUCUUGACGGUACCUAAUCAGAAAGCCACGGCUAACUACGUG
rnacentral:rRNA from 1 species